GUAACUUGUCUGUACUGAAAAUGACAUGGUCCCAAACCAUUAUGUCAGUUUUUCUAUUUCGUUUCUUCAACAUAGAAAUGCAUAUUACCCUUUUAGACAUUAAUCUAACCAUGAAAUGAUAGGAGAGAGCAAAUUUCAUGAAAGGGGAUGGUGUAAGAAGAUACAUACUUGAGUGACUAUUGAAGUUUAGAAAACAUAUCCAAUGUGUGAUAAUCACAUGAAUUUGAACAUCUCUAGUGCAACAAUCUUGUUGGUUCAAGUGAGCUAAAUUGAAAAAUUCAAAUGAUAUAAGUCACCUUAUCUAAUAUUCAUUUGUUUCAAUGUAACACUGCAAAUAUGAAUAUUUCUGUGCUUAUUUAGCUACUUAACUCAUUCUUAGAAAAAUUGUUGCUACGGUCAGUCAUUUUAAUAACUUUAAUAUUUGUGCACAAGAUUGUUUUUUUUAUUAUUUUGACUUUGAAUCAAAGAUAUCUUACUAAACUCAUUCGACAGGUGGCUAUGAUUGAGGCCUAUUUGCAUCCAAACAAAAUGUUUGUUGACUAUAAGGAGGUAAGACACUAACCACUUCAUUGUGAAACUGUGUUUGUUUGAAUGUCUGAGCAGCCUCAGAAGGAAAGGGUUUAUUCAUCUUAUCUAGAAUUAAACCUUGAAGAUUGUUCAGCCCUGCAUUUCAGGUCCUAAAAGAGAUGAAAGCAGAUUGGCAUUCUUGUCUUGACAACAAAGUUAGAUUCAAGGGAUUUGCAGUGCCCAAGAAAUCACAAGAAAAAGUUGUGAAGUUUGACUUUCAUGGCCAAUCUGUCGAGCUCAAGCAUGAUAGUGUUGUGCUUGGUGUUGGACUUGUUGCCAAGAAGGCUUGUGAAUUGGGUCUUUAGGUUAUAGUUGAUAAGGGGAUAAAUAUGCCUUUUUGUCCCCUUUUUUUUCUAAAAGAAAAAGGGUCAAGGCCUUACUUAAAUUAGAUUAACAAUAUUGUGUAUUUAUUUGGAUAUUGUCUGUCUUUGCUAUAAGAUGAUAGUUUGUUGUUGUUGUUUGUUA